AUGUCUACGGGGAGAUCAGGCCCUGGUGGCCACAGAAAGCCCGCAGGCAAAAACUUAAAGGUGAGAGAGAGAAGACAAGGCAGAAAGAGCUACGAUAAAGCCACAGCAGCAAAACCUGUGGGUGUUUGCUGUGUCUCAGACCCUUUCCGAAGUGCUUGUCAGGAUCCCACGCUUGGCUGGAGUUGGGCAGAGUCCCUUUCUGGCGAAAGUUGCUUGAAGUUUCAGGUUACACGUGCCCCACCGGGACACAGGCCGACCUGACGGAUAGAUGGAAAGAAGAUGGUCAGCUGUCCAGCCAGGCUAACCUUGGCUUCCCAGACGGGCCACCGUGAGUGCUUCCCAUCUGAGGAAGGCUCAGUCUCGGACAAAGCAAGCAAAUUCCUGUGAUUUAAGGACCCUGAGAAAGUUCCCUCCUAGGAAACCUCUACCCUAUUGCUACUUCUGAAGUUUCAUCGAGAGACUCGUGGAUGACCAUUUACAGACUCCCCAACCCUUUAAAAAAUUGUGCUGAAACUCACUUAUAAUAAAACUAACUGUUUUAAAGGGAAGAAUUCA
rnacentral:lncRNA from 1 species